UUCUAAAAAGAAAAGAAACUGUAGAAAAUGUGUGACUUGCUGAUAAGAAGGACAAAACCAUUCACUCAGAAGCCCAGCUUUUAACUGUACCUCAGUAACUCCUUAAAGGAAAUUAUCACUUGAUAAUUUACACAAUAGAUGUUGAAAGGUAUUCAAAUAGACUUUAAGGGAGGAAGUUAUUACUAGAAAUAAAAUGUUCAAAAUGAUAAAAUGAUCAAAACAGAAAGAUAUACAAAUUGUAAAUAUUUAUAACUCGUUUCAAAUAUGUGAACCAAAACUUGACAGAAAUAAAGGAGAAAUACAUGAAGCUACUGAAGGGGCGAGGAGUAGAAAGGAAACCACAGGACUGAAUGAAGUACAAGGAGAUGGUGGAAGAAGCAAGAAGCACAGAAGGACCCGCACUCGGCCACCCAAAACCCAGGAAACUGCUCCAGUAAUGGAGACAGGAAAGCACAGGGGCCCAGACCACAUGCACGAGCCUGAGCACAGGUACACUCAUAGGGAAAUGGUAAGCGUGGAGGAGAAGGAGAGGCAGUAAAUGGUAUCUGCCCUCCUGAAGCCAACUACAAGAGGUAAAUUUUACACCACCACGUUAAAAAAAAAAAGGACAUGAAAAGAUCUUCAGCAUCCUAAUUCUUAGAAAAAUGCACACCAAAACGACCACAAGGUAUGAUCGGGCACUAGUCAUCAUAAAGUCUACAAACAAAAUGCUGGAGAGGGUGUGGAGAAAAGCAAACCCUCCUCUGCUGCUGCUGGGAACGGAAAUGGCUACCAGCCACUAUGGAGUACACUAUGGAGGUUUUAUAAGACACUAAAAAUAGAGCGAUUAUAAGAUCUGGCAAUCCCACUCCUGGGUUUAUGCCACGAGAAAACCAUCCUUCGAAAAGACACCUGCAGACUUCCCUGGUGGCGCAGUGGUUAAGAAUCCACCUGACAAUGCAGGGCACACGGGUUCAAUCCCUGGUCUGGGAAGAUCCUACAUGCUGCAGAGCACCUAAGCCCAUGCGCCACAACUACUGAGCCUGAGCACCUAGAGCCCGUGCUCUGCAACAAGAGAAGGCACCGCAGUGAGAAGCCCACGCACUGCAAUGAAGCCCCAAUGCAGCCAAAAAUAAAUAAUAACAACAUAAAAAAAGAGAGAGAGAAAAUUAACCCUUUGAAAAGAAGAAAAAGACACCCACAACCAACAUUCAUUGCAGCACUAUUUAAAAUACCCGAAGCAUGGAAGCACCCAAAAUGUCCAUCGACAUAGGUAUGGCUACACAAGAUGUGCUACAUAUAUACAAUGGAAUAUUUCUUAACCCUAAGAAAGAAUGAAAUCAUGCCAUUUGCAGCAACAUGGAUGGACCUGGAGAUGAUCCCACUAAGUCAAGUAGGGUCACAUAGAGAAAGACGAAUAUCAUAUGAUAUCACUGAUAGGUGCAAUCUAAAACAUGAUACCAAUGAACUAAUUAACCAAAACAGAAACAGACUCCCAGACUUAGAAAACUAACUUAUCAUGACCAAAGGGGGAAAGUUCGGGUGGGGGGAGCGAUAAGUUAGGAGGUUGGGAUUAACACACACACACACACACACACACACACACACACACACACACACACACAGAUAUGAUAAUCAAGAAGGACCUACUGGAUAGCACAGGGAACUCUACUUGAUAAUCUGUCCUAAUCUAUAAGAGAAAAGAAUCUGAAAAAUAAUGGAUAUACAAAUAUGUAUAAUGAAUCAUUUGUUGUAUACCUGAAACUAGCACAACAUUGUAUAUCAACUAUACUCCAAUAACAUUUUAAAAUUUUAAAAAUAGGUAAGCUUGGGGCUUCCCUGGUGGCGCAGUGGUUUAGAGUCCGCCUGCCGAUGCAGGGGACACGGGUUCAUGGCCCGGUCCGGGAAGAUCCCACAUGCUGUGGAGCAGCUGGGCCCAUGAGCCAUGGCCGUUGAGCCUGCGUGUCCGGAGCCUGUGCUCCACAACGGGAGAGGCCACAACAGUGAGAGGCUCGCGUACCGCAAAAAAAAAAAAAAAAGUAAGCUUAAACGCUUUUGUACAGCAAAACGUCCAUAAACGAAACAAGACACCAUAUGGUUUCGGAGAAAAUAUUUGCAUAUGAUGGAAAUUUGAGGGAUUAAUUCCCAAAAUAUACAAAGAACUCAUACAGCUCAACGUCAAAAAAACAAACAACCCAAUUAAAAAAUAUGCAGAAGACUUAAGUAACAUUUCUCCAAGGAAGAUAUCCUAAUUACCAGCAGGCACAUGAAAAGAUGGCCAGCAUCACUGAUUAUUAGAGAAAUGCAAAUCAAAUCCACAAUUGAUGUAUCACCUCAUACUCGUCAAAAUGACCAUCGCCAAAAAUUCUACGAAUAGGGACUUGCCUUGUGGUCCAGUGGUAAAGAAUCUGCCUUACAAUGCAGGGGACGCGGGUUCGACCCCUGGUCAGGGAAAUAGGAUCCCACAUGCCUCAGGGCAACUAAGCCCUCGCACCGCAACUACUAAGCUUGUGCACCUCAACUGGAGCGGGCGUGCAGCAAACUACAGAACCCACGUGCUCUGGAACCCACGCACCACAAUUACAGAGCCCACACACCCUGGAGCCUGCACGCCACAACUAGAGAAAGCCUGCACGCCACAACUAGAGCAAAGCUCACGUGCCACAUGAUCCUGCAUGCCUCAGUGAAGAUCCCGCAUGCCACAACUAAGACCUGACACAGCCAAAAAUUAAAUAAAUAAAUAAAUAAAUAAUACAUCUUAAAAAAAAGUCUACAAAUAAUAAAUGCGAGAGGGGGUGUGAGGAAAACAGAACCCUCCUGUACUCUUGGUGGAAAUGUAAAUUGGUGCAGCCACUAUGGGGAAUGGUAUGGAGGUUCCUUAAAAAAGUAAAAUAGAGUUACCAUAUUUUCCAGCAAUCCCACUCCUAGGCAUACAUCCAAAAAAGAUGAAAACUGUAAUUCAAAAAGAUACACCCACCCUAGUGUUCAUAGCAGCACUAUUUACAAUAACCAAGAAAUGUCCAUGGACAGAUGAAUGGAUAAAGAACAUGUGGUAUAUGUAUACAAUGGAAUAUUACUCAGCCAUGAAAAAGAAUAAAAUAAUGCCAUUUACAGCAACAUGGAUGGACCCAGAGAUUAUCAUGCCGAGAGAAGUGAGUCAGACAAAGACAAAUAUCAUAUAUCGCUUAUAUGUGGAAUCUAAGAAAGUGAUACAAAUGAACUUAUUUACAAAACUGAAAUAGACUCUAGACAUAGAAAACAAACUUACGGUUACCAAAGUGGAAAGGAGGGAGGGAUAAAUUAGGAAUUGGGGAUUAACAGAUGCAUACUACUACAUAUAAAAUAAACUGAAAGGACUUACUGUAUAGUGCAGGCAACUAUAUUUAGUAUCUUGCAAUAACCUAUAAUGGAAAGAAUAUGCAAAAAAAAAUAUAUCAGUUACUUUGCUGUACACCUGAAACACUGUAAGUCAACUAUACUUCACUUAAAAAAAAAAAAAAAAGAUACGGAGCUCCUGGUCCUCUAACUGGAUAAUUACUCCGAUAUUUAAGUUGGUGAAAGUUCACUUAAUGAAGCAAGUCACUCCCUAAUCUCUUUAAGGUGUCCCCAGUGAUGAGAAACGAAGGUCCUUUGCAUACUAACAUGUUUUAUGGGUAAUGUAGUAGGUGAGGGCACUCUGCAGUCUUGAUCAGAAUAAGAUUGAUCAACCUGAAUGACAAAAUGUCCUACACUGAAAUUGUGGCCAAGACCCAAUUAGAAUCCUUAAGUUCUGUCAGGUUUAGAAUCUCCACUGGCAGCUGUGGUGUUUGAAGACUUGUAAGUUCCUGUCUUACUGCGCAGGUUUGUGUUCUUUGUAUCUUUUACUAGAACAACAUUCUGUGAGGGCUGAGACAUGAUAGUGAAUGACUCAACAUGUUCAAUAGUCACAGCUGCCAGGCGUGCAGGUACAUGGUUUUCCUCUCCCCAGAGCCCUCACCUACCCUGUUAUAGGCCUCCUAGGACCUGUAGGGGCCUGAGCCCUGAACAGAGGCACGAGUCUUUCACGGCCCCUGUGGUGUCAACCAGGCUCCCUCCCUCUCUGGGCCUGCUCGACGUCCACUCCAAACUGAAUUCCCCAUUAGCCCUGCUCCCUGAGACUGUCACAAUGGGGGAUCAACUCCAUGGUUUGGCCAGAAGGAGUCAGACCCAUCCUGAGCCACUACAAAGACCUGGCAGGAGCACGCAUUUGAAGUACUAAAGCUCACACACCAGAAUGACAGUGCCUCACUGCUGGCUGACCUGCCUCUGACUGUGGUCUGGACAUCAGGCAGAAAUGAGGAGGGAAGGACAUUAGAGCAGAGAAUAGCAGUGGUGACUACAGUGGGCAUGGACACACCAAUGUGGCUCCUGCCAUCUUAGGGACGAGGACCUUGAGAAGGCAUUAUUUAGGGCCAAUAAGAGGGAGGGAAGAGGACUCUUCCUGGACUCAUAUCAGCCUGUGUCUCUUCAAACCCCCAAUGAAGACCCCUAAGUUGGGAGGUGGGGCCUCUGUGUCAGAGGAGAAGGAAGGCUAGGGGGUCUCUGGGCUAUAAGCAGAGAGCCAUGGGGGAGAACCUUGUGAGGACCUGAAGGCUGGAGGGCCAUGGACUCACCUCUGUUCAGUAGGCUCACCUCCUGUGGAGGCCAAGGGUGGUCUCAGUCAAGGGGGCAUCAACCCCCAGCCGUGUAGACCCAGCCAGCAAUACAAGAUCCAGCUGAGACAGUCUCGAAGCUCACCUCCAGCUACAAAUCAGGAAACCCAAACAAGGUGGCCUUGACGCAGGCAGACAUUUGGGUUAUCUGCACCCAAAAUACCUUGACUUAGAAGACAACCCAGUAACCAGAAGCCCCUCAGAACAGCCCGGGCUACAGGGGUUCAGGGCGUCUAGAAACUACUGAGGAAAAGGGCCCCAAGAUCCACACCAUCUGGAGCAGUGAUGCCAUCCUUUCCCAGUUCCUUUCAAAACAAGUGCAACAGGAAUGGAGAAAUUUGAACACUCAAAUUGCCGAUAAGGCAGACCUUGAAGAAACCACAGACCCCUGCACCUUGGGUUUCAGGCCCGCCAGCCCCGUCCUGGAUGGGGUUCUCACUUCCUUCACAGCAGCUUUGACGCCAGCAAGCCCCGUGCAGGAGUCAAGGAGAACCCAGCCAGCCCUGUGAUCUGGAGCAUUCUGUGGGCGCCAUGAGACCUCCCAGAGGCUGCAGAUCCCAUCUCCCCAUGGUGCCUGCCAGGCACAGCUGCCACCCUCCAGCUAAGGGAGGGCUGGGCCAAGCCCACAUCUCAGACACCAGACAGUGUGUUAUCCUUUAAUGAAGAGCCAGGUCACUAGGGCCACCAUUCUCCCCGAGGCCCCCCUGCAGCAGACACCCCUCACUCCUGGCUGCCUCGGUGGCAGGGUGGCCCAGAAGCAGCCAGCCCUGCUGAGAGGUCAGUUUGCAGCAGCCUAGUAAAGGCAUUCAUCUCUCGGACCUAGGAAAAUGGCAGCAGCAACAUGGCCAGUGGCGGCUAAUGAGGUCAGGGAUGGUGGAGGAGGAGGGCGGGACAGGAAGUGGGGGCUCUCCUCCUUCCUCUCUGAAUCCCCUGGGAUAAAGGCCAGUGUUCAGGAGCAGUACAGUCUCCCCAGGGGCUGGAGGCCCUUCCAGCCACUCUCUGGAAGCCCUUAGUCCCCCGUUUCCCUCAGACUAACAUCACACAGAAAGUAGCCCGCAGGGUCACUGGCCUCAGGGUCACCACUCCAUCAGCCUCAAGGCCCCACGCCUGCGAGAUGUCCAGCAGGGCCCAGGCCAGAGCCACCAGGAGACUUGGAGCCACCUUCCACUAACUCCGCUGGGCAGGCACUACAGGCAUCUAAGAAGGUGGUCUCUCCCUCGUGGUUCCGGGGCUGCCCAGGCGGGGCUGAGGCACAGCAGGCCAGGGGCUCUCCAAGUCCCUACAGAUCUGUGACCUUGUUUUCUACAGCCGCUGCGAUCUGCUGGAGCCGAUAGCCCAGCUGCAUCUUCUGGGCCGUGCCAUCUUCCUCCAGGGCAGUGAUGAUCUGAAACACAGAGACCAACUCAGCAGGGGGAGACCGUCAGCCUGCCGUCUGCCUUUGCCACAGACUACAAUAGGCCUCCACAGCUACUGCAGCAGGUGUGGGUAGGGGCCCGAGAAACCCUGUGAGCUGCCGCACUCACUUCCUCAGGGCCCCCUCGGGGAGGGGAUGAUGACAGCAGAGUCACUGUGGGGUCUUAAGGAUUAGUGAGGUAGGGAAUGAAGUACUUUACUCAGUACCUAGCACUCACGGUAAUGCAUAUCACCUCCCCAGUAAAAUCGUUUGAGGCCAACUUCACCCACCAUGCUGGUCUUCUCCGCCACAAACCCCCUGGAAGCCCUGCUCCACCCAUCCUGGCUCCCCCGCCCACCAGGCAACAAGCAGUUCCUAAAUUCCUACAUGCCGGGUGCUGGACAAGGAGCAGGGACCCAGCAGUGAUGACAGGUACGAUCCCUGCCCUCGUGGGGCUCACUGGAUGGGAGACAGGUAUUGACCAAACACGGACAACUACAUAACCACAAGGGGGGCUGCCACAGAGGGAAGGGUGGGAACAGGAGGGGCUUGCCGGCCACGCCUCCACAAGGGGACAGCUGUGUCACACGGCCCCGCCUCCCCCACACCGGCACCCACACUGUUUGGAGUAAGGCACCUGGACUUCACGCUUGCGCAUCACUCCUGUGUCAAAUGCCUGUCCCCACUCCAGGCCUGAGCCAUGAGGCAGGGCCCUCAUCGCUCAACAGCAACGGCCACAUCCCUGGGGCCACGCAAACAUCUGGGUAGAUGAUUCCAGCAGGCACUCAGUGGGUUGACCGGUGGGCGCUCUGAUCCUGAGGCCCAGCCCAGGAAUCCCCCAGAAAGCCCCCUUACCGGCUCUGUUGUGCCCUCAUCUGCCCCAGACCCUGUGCCCAGACCCUCCUCUCUGGCAGCGCAUGCAGCCCAGCCAGGCCCACCCCCCCAGAGAUGGCCUGCACAGCACACUGCCACAUGUGGUCUCAGGUAGGGCUCUGAGGGAGCACAAGGUCGGGGCACAGGUGGCCGCUGUGUGUUCCUCCCAGCACAUCCUGCACACCAUCUCCAGGCCCUGGUAGAUCCCCAGCCAUCCAUCACCACCACCAUGCCCAGGAGCCCGGCUGAGGAGCCUGGAUGGGAAGGGCGGCAGCAGGUAAGAGCCGGGCCACUACCAGGAAGCACACCUGAAGAACACUUCCCGAGCACAGGGCUCAGCCCCCCUCCACCACUCUGUGCCUGGGGGAGACCCGAAGGCCCCACACUUGCGUCACAGGGCCAGUCACCCUCUCGCAUCAUCCUGACCAUGCCCAGGUUCUGCCCACCUGGUCAUAGUAUUUGUUGAUAUACUUGUAGAGUUCGUGCAGGGCCACUCGCACCCCCAGGUCUCCAGAGUAGUUCUAGGGAGGAGAGACAAGAGGUUACAGAGAUAGGGGGUGCUGCCAGCCACCAGAGGAGGCCCAGGACCCCAGGCAAGGGGAGUGGGGAAGAGGGGGCUGGGAGGUAGAGGAAGGAACAGGGCCCUGCAUUGGGAAGCAGAGCCCCUCCACAGACAGGGGAUGCCAGGCUAGACGUGCUAAGCUGGGGACAGGAUAGGACCAAAGGGCCUCCUUGGUGGAGAGAGCCUGGAUCUGUAGUUUCACCAUGGCCUGGGGUCUCCACUGGGGCUCGGCCUCUCUCCCCCUCCAGGCUCCAGCUGGGACCCUCUGGCAUCCCAGGCAAUUGCAGAGCCAGGCAGAAUAGGUGCUGCUCACAGGCUGUGACCCAGCAUAGUUCUGCUGUGAUCUCAAGUCUUUCCUGAGGUCACACCCAGGUCCCUCCAUGGGGACAUCUCUGAACCUCAACCUCCUCUUCAGGACAAUGGAGUUGAUAUCACCUAACUUGUAGAGCUUUAAUGGGAAUCAAAUGAGAAGUAAUCAAAGCCCCCACGCACGGCAACACCCCAAAACUGUAGCUGCUAUUGUUAUUGUGGUUGUGGUCAUCAUCAUCGUGGUUUCAGAUUUACAUUGUUUAUAAAUUCCCUGGACUGGACUGUUUGGAGGCUGUUUUAGGAGUAGGUGGGGGCAUGUCUAUAGUGCCAAGGAAAGCAGAGCAGUAGGAAGACGUGGACAGGCUGACCCAGGCAGUCCUGGGGCUGAAUCCCUGCCACCUCGCUGCCUUGGAACUAUGGUCCACAGACCCCGAGGGGCUGCAGAGGGGCUGCAGACAUCUAAACACCUGGCUGAGUCAGGCUCGGUGGCAGCUGCCAGGACAAGGCCCCUGCUGCUCUCUGAUGAGACACUGGGAGCCCUGGUCUUUUACAGAGGCAGCGGGAACACUGUGCUGAGGCCCCCAGGGCUUCCCUGCAAAGGAGCAGCGUGAAGGGGGCAGGACCCUUGCGGCAGAAGGCCUAUGCCCAACCCAAGAAGCAGAAGGAGGGCCAUACCCGGGACAGCUCGGCCAGGAUGGAGUUCAUCUCUUGAUCACUGGCGGGGAUGGUCUGUCUGAUGUCUGCAUAGUACCUGCCAGAGAUCAUGGGUCCGGCAGCCGCUGGGGAAACAAACCCCUCUUCACCCCACCAGGCCCACCCCUGGGCCUCAGCUGUAAACACCCACCAAUCCGUCCAGCCAUUAUCCCCCAGAUGCAAUCCCUUUCCCUCAUACCUUUCCACCAUCCGUUUGUACCGGGGAAUAUCCCGAGCAUACAGAAGUUUGUUGAUGGGAGAGUCCUGGGUGCCAGCAGGUGAACAGUGAAAGGAAAAGAAGGAUAAGAGCUCCUGUUAGGGUGACCAGCUGUCCCAAUUUUCCCAGCACUGUUUCAGUUUUAAAACUAAGUCCUGAAUUGCAGGAAACCUCCUCAGUCCCAGACAACCCAGAUGGUUGGUCACCCCACCUCAUUCCUUCUGUCACCCCUCCCCCAGUGUCCCAUCUCCGCUGUCAUCACCUUGAGCUUCCCCCCAUCUCACUCCAAGGUCAUCUCUCAGCUCCACGUGCCUCCACCCGGACCUGGCAGGGAACUGGCAUGCAGGGUGGGAAGGGUGCAGUGCCGUGUGGAGCCCUAAUACUGCUUCUCCAAGUGCUAUUCAUUCCCCAUGUAAUCAUUUUAAAAAUCAGGAAACUAACCCCGAAAUUUAAUUAAAUUGCCCCAGACCACCUCACUCCUGUGUGGCUGAGCUGGGAUUUGAAGCAGGUCUCUCAGACCAGGGCCCACAAUCUAACACAGCCAAUACAUCCUCUACCACCGAACCGGGCUCCAAUCCCAGCUCUGUCCCAGUGGCUGUGGGCAGCACACUUCCAUUCUCUGGACCUGCUGCCUCAUCCUACAGCUGCUGGGAGCGUGAGGCAAGACUGCACUGCCCCCUGUGAGCAAGGGGGUGAGUGCUGGGCCUGAGGCAGGAUGCCUGCUUCUCAGCAACUCUCCAUGGGUGGCCCUUGGCAUCCUGGUUUGCACUAUUCCUGAGCUACCCAGGAAGCAUCUGCAGUGCUGCUGGGAAGGGGAAGCAGUGUGAAGAUCAGGCAGAAGAACCCAGCUACCAUACAGCACACACCCUGGAGGUGACCCCUGGGUCCUGGUGUGGCUCUGUGGUUCUCAGCUCAUCGCAGGCAGAGUAAUGAGUGCAGGCAGAGGAAAAAUGGCUUACAAAAGACAGCACUACAGAGUGGAACUUUCCAUCUUGUUUCCCCAUGGAGAACUCUCAAGAGGUCCCAGGCCCAGGGGUCGAGGCUAAGCAGAGUCCGUUAUGCAGAGCCACGACAGCCCUGCCUGCUGGGUGCCUGAGCAGUCAUAGUGGUGACCCCGUAUCUGUCACAGGACUCUCUGGGUCCUGACCACUGUGACAACAUACCUCCCCCUCUCUGUGCCACCAUGCAGCCCUGACCACCUCUCCUCCAUGCUUCCCAGCUCCCCUGUCAGCACAUCCCUCCUCGCCUGGCCCUCCCCUGGACUCUGCUCCCUGUACUGCACGGGCUGGCAGACACUUCCACUGCCCUUGGGAAUCAAAUCUGGGAGGCAGCCUGGAGCUGCUCUGCGAUUGUAGAAUCCAGGGGCUCACCUCCUCCAAGUCUCAGCUCACCACCGCCAGAGGCCCGGGGUGCGUAAGGAACCCCUCCCUCUUCCUCACCCCCACAUCCAUCCAACCCACAGCUUCUGCCUGCCCUGUACCCUCUAGUCCCAGCAUGAACCUGGCCACCGCUCGUCCCAGGGACAACACAGCUUCCUCUCUGGACGCCAGGCUCCAGUCCAUCCACUGCAUGAUUGCCAGGAGGCUCCACCUAACUCUCAGGUCUGACCACCCCCUUUGCCCUCAGGGUGAGCCCUUGCCAAGUGGCCCUGGCCUCCUGCCGCACCGCCAGCACUCUUUGCUCCACUUAACCCUGUGAAUCAGCACACGUGCCCCCUGCCCUUGCUCAUCCCUGAAGGCUGAGGCACGGCCACCUCCUAGGGAGGCCAGGGACAAAGCCUGUCCCCAGGCCUGCGGUCAAAGGCCUCCUAUAUCCUCCUCCUUGACAUCCUCAAGAAGGCCUGGAGUCUGUGCACCACAGCACUCUCCAUCCCCGGCUACGCUGCCCCACCCACCUAGACCCUCCCGGUCCACCCCAGCCAGCUCACCCGGCCCAGCUUGUGGUCAGCCAGGGUGCAGGCAUCCAUGAAGGUCUGUGCAAUGACCAGGAACACUGCAUCCAUGUUAUCAGAUGUCUGCACGUCGAACACAAACUGCGGGUUUUUUAUGAUAUUGAUCCAGAACCUCAGCGGCAAGCUGUGGGCGGGGCAGGUGUGGCCAGUGAGUGUGCUGGGGAGACAGGAGAGAAGACCCCGCACAUGCUAGGCCCGCCCCGCCCCACCCCCACCUGUUGGUCUUCCAUAUAUGGACGGUGUCCUGGUCCGAGAUGCCAUGCUGCUGGGCCUGCUCAUCCAGCAGGUCAAAGAAGUACUUCACAGCGAGCGGCACGGGACGGCUGGUGCUGAGAAUCACCUGGAACAGGUCAUCCACAAACUUCUGCAGGGUGCCCUGCGGACGAGGGGAAGCACAAGAGAUGCAGUCAGCAAGGGGACCUCAGCCCAGCCCAGCCCAGCCCAGCCUCAGAUGCCUCGUGACACCAGGCCUGUGCGAGCCCCACAUACUCCCAAAUCCCACUACCUGUCUCGUCCCUGCCCCCAGCCCCACCUUCAUGGACAGCAGGCGGGUCAGGUAGAUCUCAGGGAUGGCCUUGGCUCGCUCCCGCUCCCCGCCCCGGAGGCUGCCCCUCCGAGGCCUGGGCGGCUCCGGCUCCUCGCUUGGCUUCACCAGGUGCCAGGGCCGGAUGCCCCCCUCGUCCACAUCCUCCAGCAUUGGGGUCCCUGUACCAAGACCUUACAGCUUGUCACCCCUCAUCAGGUGCCCCCUGCCCUAGACCCCCGGGGUCCUGCCAAAACCUGGGAGUGGGGGCACCUGGUUAAGGGCUUCUCUGGGUGGAAGGGAAGUAGACACAAGCCCACCCUGAAGUCCAGAGGACCUUACCCCGUUACUGGAGACUGGGCAAAGCAAGGGUAGAGGACUGCGAUGGCAGGGGUGGGGCGGGGGGAGGGUAAGUACUCACUCUCUCCAGGGACGUAAUCCUGGCUUUCCCGGAGGACAUGCUUGGUGAGGCAGGGGACGAGGGCCACAGUUGCUCCGUCUGGGACCUGUGGACCACAGUUGGUGACCCCUCCACCAGCCCAGCCCACCCCACCACAGCCUUCCCCCAGCUCCCACCCCUCCCACCUUAUAAUGCUGCAGGGUGUUCAGGCGCCUCCACAGACCCUGGACCUCAGAAGUCACGUCCUCGUCAGAAAGAAUGAGAUGCCCGGCCACCCCAGACCGCCAUUCUGCAAGGACAAGGGACAGCAGCUCCCUCCACUCUGUGGCCCCAGCACCUGGCACAGAGCACUAAUGUCUGCUGGGUGAAUGGCAGAAAAAAUGGGAGAGCACAAGUCCCUCUGAACUCUGAUCCUCAGGCUCCCGGCGCAGACAGGCUGAGGCACCUGAGGAAGCCCGCAUAAGAAGUGGGGUCUCCACUAGCCAGAGGAGCAGGCCUGGCGGAGCCUGAAUGGGAUUUUCCCAAAGGACCUCCACGUGGGCCACGAAGGGGAAAGUUGCCCAGAGGGAAACAAUGGGCAGGUCUGCCAGGGUGACUCCCAGCUUGGUGGGUACAACCAUCCCCCUGGCAGGAUGCUAAGACCAUGAUCAGGCAAACACUCAGGCCCUGACACAGCAAGGACCCGGACGGGCCCCGGGCAGGGUUGGCUGCUCCCUAGACUCUGGAUGUGGCCAUCCUGACCCCACCCCAAACCUGGGGAACCUCUGAGGUCCUAUCUUCAAGAUCUGGCCCUCAAGCCUCUAUCCUGCAGCCAGCUGGAGGUUAGGCUGGCUCAAACCAGAUGCAGACACCCACACAAUCAUACGUGGUCACCCUCCUCACCUUCAUGGGAGACUGACUCACCAGCAGGUUCUCUCUCUCCCCCCUCCCUCCCCCCUCUCCCCCUCCCUCCCCCCUCUCCCCCCCUCACCAGGGGACGGUACUCCACGUCCUCUCGGAGCAGGCGGUUGUCAUUCAGGGUGUAUUUGGCUUUGCCAGUCACGCUGUCUACCGGCCCCUUGUCCACUUGAUGCUUAAUUCCACGGAAAAGCAUGUACAGAGGCUCCCCUACCGAGUCCUGGGAGAGUGGCGGGCAGUUAGGACACCCGGGGCAGGGGACAAGCAUGGGAUGGAGGUGCUGGGGGAGGGGACAGGAUGCUGGCCGCAGAAGGCUUAAGGUGGCUGAGGACAUACUGGGCAGGGGUGCCCAAGCUGUGCUGGGACAAGAAGCUGUGUGGUUCAGAGUCCUGACUCUCCCUGGAGGGGAGCCCCACCCACCUCUGCCUCACUCACCCUCACGAAAGUGUAGAGGCAGAUAGACAUCCAGUUGGUGAGCAGCUUCUCCACCACGGUCUCUGUCCUGGGAUGACAGGAAAGAGCGGGCAGAGUCAGCAGGUGGGGACCCAGGGCUUUCUAUUCUUCAGACCCCAGGCCCCAGAAGGCCUGACCCAGGUCUUGGCUCCAGCUGUCCACAGCCACCUGGCCCCCGUAGCGUCUUACGGGCAUACAGACCUGCGCAGCAUCAGCUUGGGGUUCUUGGCCACGUACUGGGCCACCAGGUCACUGAGCAGGGUGCGCAGGAUGUCAGUGAAGUACUCAAGCUUCCCGUGCAGUGCCACGGUGAGCAGAGAUGCCACGUAGGCGCGGUCCCGAGCUGAGAAGGUGCGCUGGCUCUCCAGGGUGUGGAUGAACUGGCGCCAGGGAGAGGGGAUGGGUGAGUGGGGAGGGCAGAUUCAGAAACGGAGGGACUGAGAAGGGAUGGGGCUGGAGGGUAGGGGGACCCCCUCCCCACCCCUGGAGGGCCUAGAUAGGGGGUGGGGCCGGCACCUUGAUGAGGAAGAGCUUGCUGUUAAGCAGGUUGGAGAGCUGCCCCAGCCCUUGUUCCACAGUGGGUCGCCUGCUCUCAGGCACGCCCAAGUCCCGGUGCAAGGGUGACUCCUGGUGCCCAGGGAAGAAGACCCUCUCGGCAUACACCUUGUAGUCGAGGAAGGGGAUGCCGCUGCCCAGAAGGUCACUGGUAAGAUCGGUCAUCUCGGUCAUAAGGUCUGUUGAGCAGAAGAAGCCAGGUUUGGGCGCAGAUCCCAAGGUGAUGGGAGCAGGCUUGGGCAGAGCCCUGGAGCGUGGGGUCUUCGCAGCCUCACCUGUGAACUCCUUCUUGCAGCGGUCCCGCACGCUGCUCUCCAGAUUCUCCAGCUGGAUCUGCACCUUCUUAUAGUCCCUCAGAGCCUGCUUGCUCUUCCUCCUGCUCAGCACCAAGGUCAGGGCAGGGAAGGCCAGAGGAGGCCCGAGCCCUUGCUGGGUCCCACCGGGCCCAGGCCUGCCCGGGCCAGCACAGUCUAACCCUGCCAUGCCCAGCCAAGCCAGGGCCUAGUCAGAAUAAUUCAGCCUGUCCCAUCCCAGGCAAGUCACACCCACCCACGACUCAUCUAGCCCAGGGAUCAGCAAACUAUAACACGGCCAAAUCUGGCCCCUGGCCUGUUUUUGUAAAUAAAGAUUUGUUGGAACACA